GGAGGAUUCUGGGAAAUGUAGGAAAAGGAAAGAGUCACCAUGUGAUCCCAGGAAGAGAUGACAGCAUCCUCGGGUAUUUUUCCUUAACUUCCAUCCCCUGGAUUGCCGAUGAGUUGUCUGACUCCCAACAUUGUGUUGAGAUGUGGUCGUCUACCUGCUGGGCUGAAUGUAGCUCAUCCCUGUUUGGAAAUCUGCACGGAUACCUCUGACCAAUGCACUCCUGUCUCCUGGAUAAAGAAGUCACCCUCCAGGAGCUGCAGGCUCCUCCUUCCCACAUCUGAUCCUCACAAUUUAGUAACUCCUCCCUGUAGGUAGCUGUCACGUCCAUGUAUUCUGAAGAAGGGCACACUUUUAGGACUUGCUGGAAAUGAGGAUGUUUUUCUUUUUCUGAUAGAUUUUGAAGCUCUGUGUUCUGGUAACUAUUUCAGAGAUUCAGUGACAAGUCUCAUGCUAAGGUACAACUAGGAAGCUAACAGGAUAUUACAGUGGGACAGAACCAGGAGAAAACCCUGAAGGGCCACAUUCUUGUGCUUCUAGAAGAUCUGAGAGGAUGGGUGUGUUGGGCAGGAAUGAGAAUGAAAGAAUGAGAAUCAGUGGCUCUGUUGAGGUCAGAGUCUAUGUGUGCACAGCACGGGCAGCAGAGUGAGCUGCUGAGAGCCACAAGUUCAGAAAUAACAGUGCUGUGUGUAUGUGGUGUUCACUCACCACACUAGGAGACUUGGACCCAUAAUUCAAGUCUUGAUCACACGGUGGUGGUCUAGUCAUGCAGCAGGGAUGUUAGGUAGGUGGCUCUUGGCCAAGUGAGGAUGUGUUCUCCAGGGGUAGGAGGAAUUCUUGGUGGGAGUGUCUGUGACCAGUGCCCUGGGGACAGUGUCCUUGGUCAAAGCAAGCUACAGUGUUCAUUCUCUGACAAUAGAAGAAAGUUCCUAUUGGGUUUAUUAGUGAAAAUGGUGAAACACUCCCCAUGUCAUGAGGGGUGAGAGUUGGAGGUGUGAAGAGACACAAAGGUGACAAGUAAGGAGAUUUUUCUCAUAAAGUACCAUAAAUUGUGCUCAGCAAGUUGGCUUUCCAGGAGUGGAUUAACACCACCCGUCAGCAUACAUGGUGACAAUGCAUCCAUAUGCUGUAGGCUGACACAAAAACACCUUAACAAAGUGCAGCAUUGUACUGCCAGCUCCCAUCUGUGUAAGACCUCAUCCAGGCUCUGCUGGGCCAGACAGAGGUUGCCUCUGUCUAGCUGCCCAGUGAGACUACAAGCUCCCUAUACAAGAGAAGGUACUGUGGUCAGAGUGCAGCUAACUGGGAUUAUUUUUGC
rnacentral:lncRNA from 1 species